CAGGAAAUUCUGCUGGUAUUAGAAUACAUGCGGUAUUUGUAUCUAAAACUUCGGGUGAAAUACUAAUGAAAUACACUGGUUUGACUAAUGUGGAAACAUGGCUCAUUCCAACUUUUGAAAACUCAGCAUGGUCUAUCAUGGCGAUUCCAUCUAUCUUCCUGAUAGCUAUGUCUGCAGUGUUGGCCACUUGUUUCUUCGUCCGCAGGCAUCACGUAAGAAGAGAAAGGUCUCGAGCUUAUUCUUAUGUUUGUGAAUUAAUUUCAUGAUUAUUCUAAUUCAAUUUUUUCCCGAGUGUCAUGCUCCCUGUGUGGAUUCUAGCUUCAAACAUGAAUUCACCGCGUUCCAUCGGUUAUCCAUCUUUGUCAUCUCUUAACUCAAGGGCCUCUAAACCAACGCCUACCACUGAUUAUCCAAUAAGAAAGUACAAUAAUGAGCAAACAUCCAACAGCAACAGGUGUGUAGUUUAGUGUCUCAAUGGUUAUUGGAUAGGAAACAGGCAAU